rnacentral:rRNA from 1 species
CCUACCAUGGUGGUAACGGGUAACGGGGUGUUAGGGCACGACACCGGAGAGGGAGCCUGAGAAACGGCUACCACAUCCAAGGAAGGCAGCAGGCGCGCAAAUUACCCAAUCCCGACACGGGGAGGUAGUGACAAUAAAUAACAAUACAGGGUUCUUUUGGAUCUUGUAAUUGGAAUGAGUACAAUUUAAAUCUCUUAACGAGGAACAAUUGGAGGGCAAGUCUGGUGCCAGCAGCCGCGGUAAUUCCAGCUCCAAUAGCGUAUAUUAAAGUUGUUGCAGUUAAAAAGCUCGUAGUUGAAUUUCGGGAUCAAUAUUUCGGUCAUGCCGUUGGUAUGCACUGUUAUAAUUGAUUUCUCACCUUCUAAAGAACCGUAAUGCCAUUAAUUUGGUGUUACGGGGAAUUAGGACUGUUACCUUGAAAAAAUUAGAGUGUUUAAAGCAGGCUCACGCUUGAAUACAUUAGCAUGGAAUAAUGAAAUAGGACAUCCGAUUCUAUUUUGUUGGUUUCUAGGAUCGAUGUAAUGAUUAAUAGGGAUAGUUGGGGGCAUUAGUAUUCAAUUGUCAGAGGUGAAAUUCUUGGAUUUAUUGAAGACUAACUACUGCGAAAGCAUUUGCCAAGGAUGUUUUCAUUAAUCAAGAACGAAAGUUAGGGGAUCGAAGACGAUCAGAUACCGUCGUAGUCUUAACCAUAAACUAUGCCGACUAGGGAUCGGAUGAUGUUAAUUUUUUAAUGACUCAUUC